GAGCGUGUUGUGACGUGCCAUAGUAAUUUGGGAAGCAACAGGGCCCUUGGCUUUGCAGCACAGGCCAAGUGGUAGUAUACACUUCCCACAAUA